rnacentral:lncRNA from 1 species
UGUGUAGAAAUGAACUCUUGUCAGUGUUUCAAAGGAAUUAAUAUUUUUGGUAAAAUGUGCUAAUGUAAAGAGUUAGAAGAUUAGUAAUGCAUAAUGAAAGCCAUGCAUUCUUUCACGUGGAAAAAGAAAUAUAAUAAAUGUCCUGCAGGUGAUUGGGGCUGUAGCAAUUUGAUUGAAGAUUAAAGUUUGACUGACCUUUGUUAAGGUGAUUAACGCUUUUGAAAUUAAAAGCUGGAGCUGAAUUAUUCUGCCCAAUUUAAAUACAAA